rnacentral:rRNA from 1 species
GAUGAACGCUGGCGGCGUGCCUAAUACAUGCAAGUCGAGCGAACGGACGAGGAGCUUGCUCCUCUGACGUUAGCGGCGGACGGGUGAGUAACACGUGGAUAACCUACCUAUAAGACUGGGAUAACUUCGGGAAACCGGAGCUAAUACCGGAUAAUAUAUUGAACCGCAUGGUUCAAUAGUGAAAGACGGUUUUGCUGUCACUUAUAGAUGGAUCCGCGCCGCAUUAGCUAGUUGGUAAGGUAAUGGCUUACCAAGGCAACGAUGCGUAGCCGACCUGAGAGGGUGAUCGGCCACACUGGAACUGAGACACGGUCCAGACUCCUACGGGAGGCAGCAGUAGGGAAUCUUCCGCAAAGGGCGAAAGCCUGACGGAGCAACGCCGCGUGAGUGAUGAAGGUCUUCGGAUCGUAAAACUCUGUUAUUAGGGAAGAACAAAUGUGUAAGUAACUAUGCACGUCUUGACGGUACCUAAUCAGAAAGCCACGGCUAACUACGUG